UUGGGCUAUAGCCAAGCGGUAAGGCAACGGACUUUGACUCCGUCAUUCGUUGGUUCGAAUCCAGCUAGCCCAGU
rnacentral:tRNA from 3 species